CCUACGGGUGGCUGCAGUGGGGAAUAUUGCGCAAUGGGGGAAACCCUGACGCAGCGACGCCGUGUGAGGGAAGAAGGCUUUCGGGUCGUAAACCUCUGUCGGGAGGGAAGAACCUUCCAGGCCUGAACAAGUCCUGGAACUGACGGUACCUCCAAAGGAAGCACCGGCUAACUCCGUGCCAGCAGCCGCGGUAAUACGGAGGGUGCAAGCGUUAAUCGGAAGCACGGGGCGUAUAGCGCGCGUAGGCGGUGAAAGCCCUCGGCUCAACCGGGGAACUGCGUUCGAAACUGGGAGACUUGAGUCCUGGAGAGGGUGGCGGAAUUCCGGGUGUAGGAGUGAAAUCCGUAGAUAUCCGGAGGAACACCGGUGGCGAAGGCGGCCACCUGGACAGGUACUGACGCUGAGGCGCGAAAGCGUGGGGAGCAAACAGGAUUAGAUACCCGAGUAGUC
rnacentral:rRNA from 1 species